UACGAAGGGGGCUAGCGUUGUUCGGAAUCACUGGGCGUAAAGCGCACGCAGGCGGUUCACACAGUCAGGCGUGAAAUUCCUGGGCUUAACCUGGGGGCUGCGUUUGAUACGUGUGGGCUUGAGGGUGGAAGAGGCUCGUGGAAUUCCCAGUGUAGAGGUGAAAUUCGUAGAUAUUGGGAAGAACACCGGUGGCGAAGGCGGCGAGCUGGUCCAUUUCUGACGCUGAGGCGCGAAAGCGUGGGGAGCAAACAGG
rnacentral:rRNA from 1 species